rnacentral:lncRNA from 1 species
GGAAACCUGAGGGAGAAAUCAAUAGGGAUAUUAUUUUCCCUAAAUUUAGGCAGAUAAUGAUGAAUGAAAAUGGUCAUCCUGUGUUCCUGCUGACCCAGCACAGUGGGGACACUUGUGUCGGACAUGACCUCUGGAGGAACAGAAAAAAGAACUCAGCGUGGGGGGCUCAGACAAGAAGCUGUACAUAUUGAAGCCAGCGACCCCACGCUAGUGAGUUCUCCUUAAGGAGAAAGGCCCACUUUGCAAAGGAGAUAUUAUAUGACAGUCGAAGAUCCCCGAGGGAGAAUCUUUCUACAAGAUUGGCAACGGACACGAAACAAAUGAUCUGACUUGGGAAACACUGCCUUUCAUAAUAUACAGCUGCCUCUCAAGGUGAAUUAAAAAUCGCUUGCCAUCAUAUCCUUUACUGAUUUUUUGUGAGCAAGAAUAUACAAAUUAAAUCUGCAAUAAAACAAACAAUAUUCAAAUUAAAAAAAAAAUCGCUUGCACUAUAAAGAGGUAAGCUUUCCCCAGAAGGAGUGGGGGGUGGGGGAGGGGCACAAAAAAAAAGAGAAAAAAAAAAAUGACCAAACAAAGGAAAUGUCCUUAAAUACAACAGCAAGAUUUUGUUUUACAUAUUCAGUUGUCCUUGGUCCCUAAAAUAGAUUAGUACUCAAGUACUAAAUAAAUUAUUAAGUCCUAAAGGAGAAAAGGAAAACUACAGAGGACUUUUCCACAUUGCCAAACAUCAUUAAUUAAUUUGCAAGUUGUAACUAUUUUAAUGUAAAUGACAAACUGCCUCAAGAAUAAAAACUUCAAAAUAAUUUCUCCCCUCAUAAACUUCUUGGAUUUAUCUGAGAAUAAAGGGAUAGUCAGUCUAAAACCAAUAGCAGUUAUAAUUCUAAUUUAUAAUUCAUAAAAUUAUAAAUUCCUUAGCUAUAUUUUCAAUUUCUGAAUCCCAUAAUUAAUUUUCAUAUGUUACAGUUCUAUUUGGUUUGUGGCACAUCACAAUUUAAUCUAUGCUUAUUCUGAACAGGAGUUUUAAAAGCACUUUAUUUCUAGUUAGACUUCCAAUUCAUAAUACGGAUAGUGAGGUAUCUGAAAUAACUAAGCAGCACAUUAAAAUUCUUCUCAUAAUGAAAAGAUGAGACUUCUUUCCUGUUCUUGCAGAUUAAGGAGGAUAUUUAUUUUAAUAACAGAAUAAAAGGAAUAAAAGUAAAGAUCUAUCCCAAGGUAUUUUAUAAAAAAAAACCAACUACCUAGGAAAAAAGCAGUUUGUCUUUCCUGGUAUAAGAAGAUAGAACAUGUCAUUAAAAAAACAAAAAAACCUAGGGUGCCUGGAUGGCUCAGUGGGUUAAGCCUCUGACUUCAGCUCAAGUCAUGAUCUCACAGUUAGGGAGUUCAAACCCCACAUCGGGCUCUGUGCUGACAGCCUGGAGCCUGGAGCCUGCUUCAGAUUCUGUGUCUCCCUCUUUCUCUGCCCCUCCCCAGCUUGCACUCCGUCUGUCUCUCAACAAUAAAUGUUAAAAAAAAAAAAAAAAAAGAACAAACCCAACUCUGAUACUCAUGUAUUAAUUUGUGCUCUGUAAGCAAUUUGCAAAUGAGUAGUAACUUUGAAGAGUUAAAGUUGAAAUAUUUCAAUCACAAAAUGUUUUAUGGAAGGGAGAAGAGGAGAAUCACCAUCAUUUUUUUACUUUCUUUUAAUCAAAGUUUGAUUUAUUAGAAACUACCAGGGCACAAAUUAGCAGCUAUCACCAAAAUGGACUCAUUUUAAAAAUCAGCACCCUAAGAUUGCUCAGGGAACAGACUGUGCUCAGAAAAGAGCUGAAAAAAAAUCACAAAAUUUUUAAGUAUCAAUUUUUCCAAUUAAUUUUCAUCAGCAAUAUCUAAUUCACUACCUGUUGUAAGCUUGAAAUGUCAAAAUAAUCAUUCAAAAAUAAAGCUCAAGUACUGAAUUUUAUCAUUACAACAUUUUGCUUUUUCAUUGAGUGGAGAUUUUUUUUGUUGGUAGCUGCUCAUGCAGAACACGAGCAGAUGCUCUGGUCUGGUGAGGGCAUCACAGGACGCUGCUUCUUAGGAUAAUUCGGAGUUGGCCAAGAAAUUCAAAAAUUGUCCUUUUUAAACCCUGAGGUCAUAAAGAGCAACUAAAGCAAAAAGAAAAAUCUGUAUUUUACUGUGCUCACCCUUUUCAAGUCAUACAUAGGUAUUCGUUCUCUCUUUUUAUAAUAGCAAUAAGCAACAGCAACAUGUUCUGGAUAGAUGCCUUAGAAUGUUCUAGGCAUUAUGCUAAGCAACUACCUUAGAUGGUUUCAUUUCAGACUCAAAAUAACCCAUGAGGUAGGUAUUAUUAUUUCCAUUUCCAAAAGGGGAAACUGGUCAUCAACAAGGUUAAGUACCUUGCCCCAGGUCAAACAACAGUAAAUGGUAGAGCUGGAUUUGAACUUGUACCAAUCUGAUUCCAGAGUCUGAGCUCUUAGAUACUAUGGUUCUGUCUCUUGCAAGCAUCUUUUACUUCUGGUUUUUUGUCUUCUUGUGUUUUUUUGGACGUUGACUAAGAGUUACCAUUGAUUUUCACGGAAAACUCAGCCUUGUAUUUAUCAUUAAACAGGCCACAAGAAUGUGCUUUCUUCAGUGUCAUUUCAUUUGUCCCUCAAAACCGACGGCACUCUGAAGGUGCAGGUGGCCCAGGAACUCUGGCCCUUCCCUGAUGUCAGUGACUCUGCUCACCAGUCCUCAUGUUCAGAACCAUCAUUCUCUUUUCUCUGUUUUUGCUUUAUUAUCUCUUAUCUAAUACUUCUCAAAGCCUGAUAAGAAUAACAGACAUUUAUAUGUAGCACUUCUAUUGCCCGGGACGGAUCUGAACAUUGUACAGACACUAACUAGUAAUAUCCUCAUUACCACCACCACUGGGCAAGUGUAAUCAUUAAUCCCCACUUAUAGAUAUGGAACAGAGACAAAGGUCACGUAACUUAACAAAGGUCACACAGCUUUGGUGAUCUAACCAAUUCACUAUACUGUGUGAUAGACAGCACCUAGAAUUAUUUAUUUACAUCUUUAUUUUCUGCCUCCUACUUCUACUAGGUAAGAAGAGAAGAGCUUCUGUCUUACCCACCACUGGAUCUAUACCACUUAGAACGGUGUCUAGCACACAGUAGGUGGUCAAUAAAUCUGUUGCCUGAUGGACAGCUUCUUUCCUAUCUUCCAGCCUUCAAGGGCAUUUCCCUGGCCCUAUAGAUAUUCCCAGAUAACACAAGCACCUCCUUAAUUUCAUAUGACAUACUAGUCAUUCACAGACCAUCAGGUGCAAUCUUUGGGUCUUUUGCUUUUUUCAAGGUUUUCUGGUGUUGUCUUUUGGUGGGGGGAAUAGAACUGAGCCGUCUGCUGCAAGUGCAUCCCAGCCUCAAAGCUUACAGGUCUCUGAGAUGGAAGGAGAGAGACCACAGAGACACAUUUCUCUGUCUUGCUCAGUGCCCCAGGAACAUGGUCUCUCCCUACAACCUGCAUUACUUCACUCCUCGUGCGUGCUGGCUGCUGGGUUUGCCCAGAGAGAGUCAGGAACAGCAGAUGGGAGGCUGGGAGGAAGUUCCAUCCCUGCGGUUCCUCUGCCUGGGUGCCAUGGUUUUGCCAGUGGCCGCUCCCUCCGUGACUAGCAGCUCCUCCUGGGUGGUCCCCCUUGCAGCGGUUGAAGGGUCCUCUCCUCCAGCUCCCCUGGCCUCCUCCAAUAGCGCUGCCUCCCUUCGCCACUCCAGGCCUGAUGGGAAGGCCUUCCCACUGCGCUAGGUCUUGGGAGCCACAUCCCUCACAGGCUCCCUCAAUCUUGCGCACACCUCUGGAAGGGUUCCUUCAUUAAAUAUGCUUCAAAAUGGCAGCUGAAAGGUCCUCCUUCUUCCUGCCGGGAUGCUGACACAGAGACGCCUGGUCUACCUCCCACCCAAUGCAGCACAGCCCUCCGCAGCAUCCUCAGCUUCUGUCUGCUCACUGCCAACGUUCAAAGGAGUCUUCUUCUAUUUAUUAAAAUGUUAUUCCUCUUCCAGGGGCAGGAAAGAUCUUCCCAUGAAAUCCUGUUUCUGUCUGCUGGAGCACACAGAGUAAGCCUCCUUUUCCCUCCGCCUGACAGCCCUGUAAAUCCUGUAAAUAUUUAACCACAGCUGUCGUGGCCUCCCCCCAAAUCUUCUCUUCCCCAGGCUAAAUGCAUUCCACUUAUUUUCCACUUCCUAUCUCCCCACGCCUCCAUCUAAAUGCCUGACAAGGGAGUGGAGAAAUAGGAGAAUAAAUUUAUAAUAAUUGAUAGGUGUGAGUGGCAAGAUAAAAGAACCAGGAAGGAAGCAGAAUUUGUCUACUUCUGACUUCAUCCCUGGGGCUGAUCUGUCAACUUCUCCUUACAUAUUUUUAUUGUUAUUACCACUUAAACUCAUUUAUCACGCCACAAUUCCCUUCUCCUGCACUUUUUGUAUAUUGGUAAAACAUCCAUAAUAUAAAAGUUAACAUUUUAACCAUCUUUAGGUAUAUGGCUCGGUGUCAUUAAGGACAUUCACAUGGCUGUUGUACAACCAUCACCACUAUCCAUUUCCAGAAUUGUUACAUCAUCCCAGACGCUUUGUACCCAUUAAACACCAACUCCCCAUCUCUUUCUCCUCUUGUCCCUGGUAGUCUCUAUUUUCCAUCUCUAUGCCUUGCCUCUUCUAGGUACCUCAUGUAAUGGAACCACACAAUAUUUAUCUUGUUGUGUGUAGCUUAUUUCACCAAGCAUAAUAUCGUAAAGAUUCAUCACGUUGUGGUGCGUGUCGGAAUUUCCUUCCUUUUUGAGGCCGUGCGACAUUCUGCUCCAGGGGCCAGACCACAUUCUGUUUCUCCAUUUGUCUGUUGAUGGACCCCUGGGCUGUUUCCACCUUUUGGCUAUUGUGAAUAGUGCUGCUGUGAACGUGGGUAUAUAAAUGCCUGUUUGGGGGCCUGCUUUCAAUUCUUUCAGAUAUUUACCUAGGAGGAGAAUUGCUGGAUCACAUAUUAAUUCUAUGUUUAACUUUUUGAGGGACCCGCACACUUUCUCACAGUGGCUCUCCCCUUUCACGUUCCCAUCAGCAGAGUACAAGGGUUCCCAUUUGUCCACAUCCUCGCCAACACUUACUAUUUUUGGGUUUUUUUUUUUAAACAGCCAUCCUAAUGGCUUUUUGAAAAAAAAAAAAGCAGCUUUAUUGAUAUAAUUUGUAUAUGAUAAACAGUAUAUUUAAGGCAUAUGAUCUAAGUUUUUACCUAUGUAUACACUUGUGAAACCGCUAUCAUGCUCAAGAUUACUUCCAUAGCUAUGAUUCCAAAAGUUUCCUCAGGCCCCUUCAGAACCCCUUACCCCUGCCCCUCACCUUUCCCAGGCAACUUCAUCCAUUUUUUUAACCCUAUGUAUUUUGGGAUAUCCUGCUUAUUCCCUUCCAUCUGUGAAGCUGAUCUCUUGGAUCAGAUGAAAGCAAGGGGCGCCUGGGUGGCUCAGUCAGUCAAGCAUCUGACUCUUGAUUUCGGCUCAGGUCAUGGUCUCACAGUCAUGAGACCCAGCCCCACACUGAGCUCUGUGCUGACAGUGUGGAGCCUGCUUGGGAUUCUCUCUUUGCCCCUUCCCUCCUCAAAGUAAGUAAAUAAAUUUUAACAAGAAAGAUGAAAGCAAAAUUUCUUAGCAGAUAUUUUCAACAGAUUUUACACAUACCAAGUCCACCCUUCCAGAAAGCCACAACAAGAACAAAACAAGUGUCAAGAACAGAAUUUCUUUGAACUUGCAGUCUCUGCUUAUACCUCCCUCUUUCCCAAACAGAUGCAGAGAAAUCAGAUUCAAAUUACAGUUGCCUUUGGGGUAAGAUUUUUUAUUCCAAUUUUAUAAACAAAAGAACUCAGGCUUCAAGAGGUUAGACAACUUGCUCAGGAUCCCACGACUUGACACCAAAAGUACAAGCCAUUAAAGAAAAACUAGUAAUUUGGACAGCAUCAAUAUUUAGAACUUUUGCACUUUAAAAGAUACCAUUAAAAAAACAAACACAAGUCACAGACUGGGACAAAAUAUGUACAAACCAUAUACCUGACAAAAGACUUGCAUCAGAAUAUAUAGAGAGCACUUGACAGUUGACCAAAGUUUUUAAAUGGGCAAAAUAUUUGAAUAUACAUUUCUGCAAAGAAGAUAUACUUACGUCUAACAAGCACACGAAAAGAUGGUUAAAAUCAUUAGUCAGUAGAGAAAUGCAAAUUAAAACCGUAAGGAGAUACCACUAGGCACCCACUAGGAUGGUUAUAAUCAAAAAGGCAGACAAUAACAAGAGCUCGUGAAGGAUGGAGAAACUAAAACCCUUAUGUGAAUGGGAAUAUAAAAUGGUACAACCACUUUGGGAUAUAGCUUGUCAGUUGCUUAAAAAGUUACACAUAAACUUGUAACACAAUCCAGCCACCCCGCUCCUAGGAACCUAUUAGAGAAACGAAAACACAUGUCCACACAAAUGCUCAUGGCACCAUUAUUCAUAACAGCCAAAUUAAAAACUGGAAACAGGGGCGCCUGGGUGGCUCAGUCGGUUAAGCGUCCGACUUCGGCUCAAGUCAUGAUCUCGUGGUCUGUGAGUUCAAGCCCCACGUCAGGCUCUGUGCUGACAACUCAGAGUCUGGAGCCUGCUUCAGAUUCUGUGUCACCCUCUCUCUCUGCCCCUCCCCUGUUCAUUCUCUGACUCUCUCUCUGUCAAAAAUAAAUAAACAUUAAAAAAAAAUAAAAAAUAAAUAAAAACUGGAAACAGUCUAAAUGUCCAUCAACUGAUGAAUGAGUAAACAAAAUGUGGUAUAUCCAUACAAUGAAAUAAUAUCUGUCAAUUGUAAGUAAUGAAUUCCCUAUACUACAACAUGGAUAAAACUUCAUGACAUUAUGCUAAGCGAAAGAACCUCGACACAAAAUACAUAUUGAAUGAUUCCAUUUCUAAAAAAUGUCUAGAAAAAAAACAAAUAUAUAGAGAUAGAAAGUAGGUGGAAAUAUCCUAAAACUGCCUAAUGGUGAUGGUUCCACAACACUAUAAAUGUCCAUAAAUCACUGAGUUGUAAACUUACAAUGGGUGAAUUUUUUUUUAAGUAGGUUCCAUGCCCAACAUGGGGCUUGAAUUACACAACCCUAAGAUCGAGUUGAAUGUUCUACUGACUGAGCCAGCCAGGCACCCCUACAAUGGGCGAAUUUUAUAGGAUGUAAAUUAUACCUCAAUCAACCUGUUUUUAAAAAUCACACAACUGGUAAAUGGUAGUACAAAAUAUCAGGGGAAGUUAUCUUGAAAGAUCUAUGAUUAAUGAAUCUAUGCAAAGAAAGAGGCAGGAAGUAGAAUAUAAAUUGGUACUGGAUUUCUUCAAACUCCCUAAAGAUUAAAACAAGCUUAUUUGGGGGACUGCAUUAAGCAACCAUUUUUCUUUCAUAGGAAGCCAUUAAUAACUUUUAUAGCCUAUUUUGCCGUGUUUUAGAUUUCUCAUGUUUUUUUUAUUCAGUCUAUUAUAUUCCCCAAGAUUCUGUUAAACUUUAUAUGGGUUGAAUAACUUUUUGAUUUUAUUUUAAACUUUGUUUUAUUUGAAUUCCUGUAACUGAAAGCAUUCUAGUAAACAGUAAGUAGUUAUAGGGGUGUCUGGGUGGCUCGGUCAGUCAAGCAUUCAACUUCGGCUCAGGUCAUGAUCUCAUGGUCCGUGGGUUCGAGCUCCACAUUGGGCUCUCUGUUGUCAGCACAGAGCUCACUCUGGAUCCUCUGUCUCCCUCUCUCUGUCCUUCCCCCGCUCUCCCUCUUUCUCUAAAAAAUAAACAAACAUCAAAAAAAAAAUAAGAGUAAACAGUUACUGUGAAUGUACUCCUAUGACAUAAGAACAGUCUCUGAGCUUCUCUGAGGAUGUCCAAAGGACUGCUUACUGGGCUAACUGCACCAGCCAGCUCUCCACAUUAUUAUUUCUGGAAUACGGUGGUCAUUACUUAUGAGCAGUUAAGGCUUCAUGGAUACAGAUAGAAUAUUGCAAUGCAAAAUUAUCUGUGGCAGGAACUUAGUUCUCUACCACAACACUCAUCUGCCCUUCCUCCCUCGCCCUCUUCCUAGCUGGGCACAUUGCUACUCAGAACAAACGCUUACAUUUCCCAGCCACCCUUGCAGCCUGCCUUAUCCAUAUGACUAAACUGCAGCUACAUGUUAUAAACAGAAGUGCUGUGUGAGAUUUCUGGAAAUGGUACUUAAAGUGAACAGACCCAGCGGAAAGAAACCCCAGUUUGCCCUUCUGCUUUCUGUUCUUCUUCAGGCCUGCCACUAGGACUGAGAAGUUCUGGGCUGCCUGCCUCCGCCUUCUUUUAUCGGAUGGAAAACCACUUCUAUUUUGUUUAACAGACAGAAGCCAAGUUUCUUUUACUCACACAGAACCUCAUCCUAAUUGACACACUGUCUAACAGAAAAAGAAUCCACUGGAAUCAUUUCUGUGAGGAAACAAGACAGAGGAGAGCAAGCAAAGUGCGAAUGCUGACAGCAGUGUGUCUGUGAGGCCUCAGCACAGGGGGUACCGUGAUACUCAGUAGCCAUGGUUACAAGGACUACAGCUGCCAUAUUGGAAGUCAUCUCAAUAAUAGGAUUUCUAGAACUAUACUUAAUGAUUGCUGCCCAGCGAGGCAGCAAGGGGUAAACACUCACACAUGUCACAUGCUCGUUUCCUAAAUCUGAUUUAUCUUUUCCAAAGAUUGGAGAAUUAUCACAAGGUGAAAGCCAAGUCCACCCAGGAGUCCCUGAAACCCUGAUCCAAUCACAAGAAUAUUCCCUCAAAACACAAAAGUGUCUAAAAAUUUGUAGUUUCUUAAAAUUCUUAAGAAUACAGUACUUGUCGACCGUGUAGAUGGUGAAAAUAGUAUCUGGUGUUUGUUAUGGUCAUCAAUCAGGUACAUAAAAAAUGUCCCUUCAGACUUAGAUUUGCCAGGUGUUGAGUAAUGUGGUGGCUAUCUUGGUGCUACGUGCAGGUAAAUGUUUAGCGAAUAUUUCAGAGGAGACCAAAUUUAAUUAAUUUUAUACCCGUGACAGUGGUGAGAUAAUGUGCAUGCCAAUGUCCCUGGUGAGGAGUUGUUACAAAAUACAAGUUUUAAUGACUGGUGGAAUAAAUGUGGGUUGGUAGUUUGAGCUCUGGUGUGGAUAUAUGUAUUACUAAUUUAGGCUUAGAAAUAUUAAAUGACUAUGAAAAGUACUUAGACUACAUAAAAAUUCCUGAAAUUAAUCUUUGCUCCAGCGUCCCCAGGAAGUCAUCUUUUUGAGUCUCAGACUCCUUCCCUGUACCAGAAAUAGGAUGGACAAUGUGACCUCUAAACUUCUUUUUAGGGCUAGCUUCCUACAAACAUGAAUUUUCUCCUGGGAAUAACACACUACAAAAAUAGAAAUAAAAAUAAGUAAAUAACUGAGUAAAUGCGUUGUUUUCAGAUUUGCCGAGUGGGAAAUUUUCUGGGAAUAAACCAACACACAUCCCAAUAUAGUUAAGAGUAAAUGAUUUGGAUACUGAGGCAAAUGAACUUUCCUUUAACAUUUCAAGUUACUAGUUACUUUAGACUAUCAAAGUUUACAUGGUAGUAUGUUAAAACUAAAAAUACCCAGCACUGUCAAAAUCAGAAGGGACUUGGCAUGUAACUACGUGUCCAUUCCUACUGCUUUUAAUAGACAUGCUUGAUACAGAUACCCUCAGAUAACUGCUCUGGCUGAGAGAAACACAUUCCAAGGUUAUCGGAAUGGGGUGCAUUUGUGUGUGGGAAAUAAAGUGUUCACAGAGUCUUUCUGCUUUGGGGUUAUUCAUACAUUGUCUCUGUUAAUUUAAAAUUCAGGAUGUGAUCACUCCGGUCAGUACAUCCAACCUGCCCGGGCUGAAACAACCUUCAAGGUUCUGGAAAUUAGAAAGUGUGGCCGAGAAGCUGUUGGGGCUGACAGGUCAAAGGAGAGCUCAUUACUUGUGUGUUUUGAGAACCUGAAAUCCCCUCAUAAGACUUAUUUUAAGUUCCUGGAAUCCUCAAUUUCUCUGAAAUCCCUUCAGUUCAUCAGUAAGAACCAACUGGGCAGAACAUAACAAAAGUUGCAAAGAAGCGAUGACUCCCACCAAAGAGCCUAUGGCCGCUCCUCAUUACCUGUACAGGUGUACAGGUAAUGAGGAGCUAAAAUCACACCGACAGAUUCUGACGUCAGUGGAUUAUGGGAACAGAGAACAGAUCAGUGGUGGCCUGGAGGUCGGGGAGGGGACUGACCAUACAUUGUGAAGACAAUGGGUGGGUCUUAAUGGUGACGGUGGCACCCAUUUGGCAGAAUCCACUGAACUGUAUACCUAAAAGGUGUGAAUUUUAUUAUUUGUAUAUGAUACCUCAGUUUACCUGAGUUACAAGAUAAAAAUAAAGGCAUAUAUCAAAAGACACCCACCAGAUAAUCAUAUUUAAUCCAAUUUUCUGGGAAUUUUAAAUACACACACACAUACACACAUACAUACAUAAAUCCGGGCAAGAAUCAGUAUCUUAACUGCUCGCCUGAGUGUUAGACCAGAAGGACUUCAGCAGAUGCCACACAACAUUUGGAAAAGGUGCUGCCGUGAAUUCUCUCUUAGAAGAUAAAACGAUAGUUUAUCAUCAGCUCUGCGGAAUACAUUCAGCAGUGGUUAGGUAACAUGAGGGAUUAGGACAGAAUGCUACAUCAUAAUUACCUGGGACUCUGAUGUGGAAUCAGAGCAUCUGGUCACCAAAUUUCCAGCCCUUAUUUUCCCCUGCUCUUAUGUCACAAACAAGAGACAGGAUGCAUUCAUGACAUGCAUUUAUUUAUUUAGGAACUUUUUUUUUAAAGCACUUUGAUGACUGCCUCAAUAUUUUCUUAAUUUUAUGAUGAUCAAUCAUUCUAGUAAUUUUUUCCCAUGUAUAGUAAUGUAUCAAAACUUUCCAGUUGCUGCAGAUAGAUUUUUUUAUAGAAAAUGGAAAAGAUAUUCUUUUCAUUUGUUUGUUUUAUUUAAAUUCAAGUUAGUUAACAUACAGUGGAGUCUUGGCUUCAGGAGUAGAACCCAGUGAUUUAUCUCAGAUAGAUUUUCUAUCAGGCUUUUCCAUGUCAAAACUGCUAAAGGCCAAAGACGAACUCACUGACUGGUUAAAUUUAUUAAUGGGUGUAAAUGUUCAGGUAAUGUAACAUGUUCUCAAAGAAUCAUCCCUAGAUCCUGGCAUCGUUCCUUACACUGGAAGGGAAAUUGUAUUGCUAAAAUCAAAGCCCAUGAACGAUACUCUAAAAUGCUUUUCCUAGAUAACUGAACGAAUGUGAGUAAAUCUGAGAAAAUGAAGGAGAAAGUGGGACUAGUCAUUAAUCUACUCAAGGCUAUUCUCUAAACUGCCUUUCUGAGAGUUCCGUUUAAACAUGAGAGAUAAAAUGCAUGAGUUUGUUUCCACUGAUUCCUGAAACCCUUCUAAAAUGACAGUAAGGGAAUAAAAAUGCUAUCAACUCACAAGGACAAAUAGCACAGUAGUAAAGACAACAGUGAUAUAAGAGAUGUCAACAAAAUUUUGAUGCUGAAAGCACAGGGAUGAAUGGUAGCUGAGGAGCAGAGCUGAAGCCUCAGGACACAAACAGGGGUGUGCGGGUGAGAAGGAAGUGAAUUCCCAGCACAGACCCCUGGAUAGGCUCAGAAUCUGGAUGCAUCAGAGACCUUGGAAGGCAAGGAUAAGGAAAGGUGCUGGAAAAAGAAGGUAGGAAGUUCGACUAAAGAGCCGACAGACCCCAGGCAAACGGACAACCACCCCUUCCCCCUUCCCACCAACAGAGGAGAAAACUAAUCUUUAGAGAAACUGACCCAGUGAGGCUCUCCUUCAGACACAUCAGGGAAACUAGGCCCAGGGGUCAAGAGUCGCACUAAAACCUAGAAUUAAGUGGAAGUCUACCCACUCAAUAGUUCAACCCCAGAUCCUUCAUCCCCAUUGGCCCCCAGAAUUCUGGUGGCCAGAACCUUAUUCCCAAAGCAGAAGAUAAGAAGAUUCUCUAUUACGGAAGGGACACAAGAGAAAAGACAUCAAAAUGGACAUUUGGGAAUCACCCAAUGAAAUGACUGGGCCUUCAGCAAUCACUGUCUUUCCACCAACACCCAGGGAGCAUUCAACUGCCUUGAAAAUAAAUGAACACAGAAAGAUCACUAAACAUUUAGGAAAGUCCUUACCAUGAAAGAUCGAGAAAAUUAAAAAAAUAAAUUAAAUUAAACAAGAAAAGAAAAGGAAGGAAAAGGAGACUACAAAGACAACACAGGGAGAAGAAAACUUAACCUCCUAUAAUUAAUACUUCCUGAGGAUAAGAGAAUUCAUUUACCAUCCAUUCAUUCAACAAAGAUUUAUUGAGCAUCUGAUUUAGGUUAAGUAUUGUUCUCAUUUCUGAGGAUGCUGAGGUUUUAAAAAGGACACAAAAAUUCCUGCCUUCAUGUAGCUUAUAUUCUAGUGUAUAAUGUACCUAUGAAACUAGGCAGAAUGCUGUUAAGAGGAAUAAUCACACAAUUUUUAAAAAGAGUGCUAAUAAAUUAAAAACUAUUAUAACCAUCUCCAUUCCUCCUGCUUUAGUUCAGGCCCUUGGAUUUUUAGAGUAACUUUAAGAGGCCUCCUUGCAUCAGAUCUUACCAACACCACCCCAUCCAUCCUUCUCACAGCUGCUAGAAUGAUUUUUAUUCAACCGCUACAUCUUGAUCGUGUUACUCUUCUUCCUAAAAUCCUUGAAUGGCACUUCUUUGCCUUUCGGAUAAAAUCCAAACUACUUUGUAAGUCAUUAAGGCUCUCUAUGAUCUGGUUCUACUUACCCCUUCAGCAGCACUACCUACUUGCCACUCCUAUUAUAUCCGUAUCGAAUCACUGCUUACAAUCUGUUAAAUAUAUGAUGCUUCCUCUCAUGCCUCUAGACCAAUGGUUUCAAACAUGAUUUCAACCAACAAUAUGCAAUACAUUUUACACUGUAACCCAGUACAGUGUUUCCCUCCCUCCCCCGGUCUCUCUCACACACACAUACAAUGAGGGAGCAGGAGUAGGGGAAGUUUCAUGAAAGGAUACUUAUCCAUACUAUGUGAGAUGCUUUCUGAUAGAUUUUUUUUUAAUGCUAGCCAUGACACAUGAAAUUGAUUUCAUGACCUAUUAAUGGGGCCCAAUCAACUGUUUGAAAAACAGUUUUAAGUCUUUGCAUAUUUUAAUGUUUCCAUCACCUUUUCUUCUUCUGGCUAAUUCUCACCUGUUAUCAAGACCCAGUUUAAAGUGUUCAUCCCUCUCCUUGCUCCCUGGAUUUAGAUAUCCCUCUGUGUUUCUUUUCUUUUUUUUAAUGUUUAUUUAUUUUUGAGACAGACAGAGACAGAAACAGAAUGCAAGCAGGGGAGGGGCAGAGAGAGAGGGAGACACAGAAUCCAAAGCAGGCUCCAGGCUAUGAGCUGUCAGCACAGAGCCUGACGUGGGGCUCAAACCCACAAACCGUGAGAUCGUGACCUGAGCCGAAGUUGGGCGCUCAACCACUGAGUCACCCAGGCACCCCCCCUCCCUCUGUGUUUCUGUAGUACGCCUGCCACUCCCUAUUACCACUGUCUCUUCAUUGGUUUGUUUCCCCUACUUGACUGCGAGCUUCCAGAAGGCAGUGAUUGAACCCCUUCUGCCUGGGAAACAGUGUCCAGCACAGAGAUGACCCUCAACGAAUACUGGCUUAUGAAUUCAUCCAUUCCAUUCUUGAGUUGGGUAAAUGGAAAUGUCUAAAAUCACAGAGCUCCCAAUCCCUUUUUUUUUUCCUAUUUGAAAUAAGUAAGCUAUCUCCUGGGGGAUCUCUUACACAUUUCCAUAACAGAGCCACACAGAAGCUUCUAGUUUUAGGCAAGAGCAUUUGUCUUCCCGUUAUGGUUUAGAGAGCAAUUUUCAAACUUUUGUUCCAAGAGCCCCUCUAUACUCUUAAAAUUAGUGAGGGCCCCAAAGAGUCUUGACUUAUGUGAGAUUAUUAUGUGAGAUUAUACACACACACACACACACACACACGUAUAUGUUUGUAUUUAUUACACACAUCAUGUAAGCCUCCGGAAACUCCACUGUUCACUUGUCAGAACAAGAAUGAAAAAGGCAAAGAACAUCUUAGUAUUAUUAAGAAAAUAGUUUUGCUCCCCUCCGCCCAGGCCUCUGAAAGGGUCUCAAGGACAGACUCCCACAGGUCCUCAGACCAGUUUGAGAACCACUAAUGCAGAGUACCUAAGCCAUAGAUACUGUUGCUUAAGGGGGUUCAGUAACACCUCUGCUUUUAGCACCAGAGCCUGGAACUAAUUUAAAGAUAAAGGAGUGUCAUAUGGGUCAGUUUUAUUAUUGAUAGAACUCUUGGACAAUAUGGCAACAAAGAUCUUUCCAUUAUCACCUAAUCACAGUCUAAAAAUCUCAACUUUCCCACGGUAAGAGCAGACUCCCACAAAACUUUUGGCAUGGGAGAGCAGUCCCAAAUGCAUGAAUCCUGUGGACAGACGUUCUUCCAAAAUCCGAAUCUGAAAAGUUACUCUUCUGUUUCUGGAGAGGAGAAAACAAGGAGGGUAGAGUAGAGCUGAGAAUGUCAUUAGCGGAGCUCACUCAACAUGGAAAGAGACACCAGGAACAAGGAAUAAGUAUUUCACCAUAAUGCUGGGCACCAACUCUGUUGCAUCUCUCUCUCACACACACACACACACACACACGUCCUAUUUUAAAAAUAAGACAAAAACAGGGAGGGAGACAAACUGUAUUUAAGAAUCUUAAAUACAGAAAACAAAGUGAGGGUUGCUGGAGGGGUGUUGGGUGGGGGAAUGGGCUAAAUGGGGCAAUGGAUGAUGGAUAUUAAGGAGGGUACUUGUUGGGAUAAGCACUUGGUGUUGUAUGUAAGUGAUGAAACCAUUUCUACUGCUGAAACCAUUACUACACUAUAUGUUAACUAUUUUGGAUUUAAUUAAAAAUUUUUAGGGAUGCCUGGGUGGCUCAGUCGGUUGAGCGUCCGACUUCGGCUCAGGCCAUGAUCUCACAGUCUGUGAGUUUGAGCCCCACAUUGGGCU